GUCGGUUAGGCGACGACGGCAGGGCAUUGCUCAUCAAUGUUUUACAGCUGCAAGCACUGUGACCGUUUCUAUUGAUACAUUUUCCACAUAUGCGCAAUGACAUUUUCCCCAGCAGAUUGUCAAGCAUAAAAACAGCUGUCAUUUCCGUGUUAAUACUAUAGUGAAAUACAAGUUAUGGUUCAGAGAUUCCCAAACGUUUUAAAACUCCAACAAAAGUUGUGUAAAAGUUCUCUUAUUUUGCUCGAGAAAUAAAAAUGUAUAAGAAUUCAGCGAAAUUUGAGAGCACUUUUAGAUUUAUAUCGGAGCAAAGUUUAACUAUUGGAAUCGGGAAUUUAUUUCCAAAACUCGAGAUAAGUGAUUCGUGACUUUGCAGAUCCCUGCAUCAAUACCAAGUCAUACAGCAAUACGAAUAUACGAGUUUUUAGUUGCCGAAUCAUAUAAAAAAUGUAAAAGUGAGUCAGAUCGAACCAAAUUUACCAAGGUCGGACCCACUGCACUAAAACUUAUUUUAUAGUUAGACAUUUAUGUAACAUCUAAAAUGGAUGUGCUGCUACGUUCCACCCAGAAACUAGCAAACAAUAAAUUUUUGGCAAUAUAUGUCAAAACAUAUGUACUCGUAUAUACACAUGUGUACAUACAUAAAUAAAUGCGAAUGAACGUGUGCAUAUUCUUUGAAAAUGUGCCAAGUAAUCGACUGCUGUAAUAAUUUUUGGCUUUUUCCCAUUUAGCCACAUUUGUUGCUGGACAUUUUCGCAAGUCGCACAAUGAGAAAUUAAAUUUUAGUAGGUUAAAUGUGUUGCUCUUUGUUGUUUUUCUUUUUCUUUUCCUAUUAUUUAAUUUUUUCGACUUUCGUUAUUCGCAUUUGUUGUUAGCUGAAAUUAAUACUUUUCUUUUAAAUUAGCAAACAUUAAAAUUUCAGCAGACGCCUGUACGCAAUAGAAAAUAUUUCUUUAAAUGAGUAAAUGUUGAAGAAAUUUUUAUGUAGCAUUUUAAUGGCGUGGAUGUGUUCGUAUUUUAGAAAAUUGCGGCAUCACUACGAAUGUAUGUAUAUAUGUUUAUAAAUUUACCGUAUUUUAGGUGAUUUGAUUGAGAAAAUUUUAGUUAAGAGGAUAUUGUAUUGUCCAAACGUCAUACAUCUGUACAAAUUUUUACAAAUAUAUAAAAUCUUUAUAAUCGCCUUCAAAAUAUAUAUGUAUAUAUAAAUAAUCAUAUGUAAAUAUUUUUGCAGAAAGAAGUUCGAUGCAAAAGAUUUUUUAAUCCCGAGGACCUCCUCUAUACGUCCAUAACAUUAGAUCGCGGCUUCAAAGAAAUCGUAAUUUUGCCCGCCAUUCACUAGAUUGUUGGAUUGUUUAGACUUCAUAUUCACAAAUCCACAUUGGAAGUUGUCAAGAAUCUCGACGUCUCUUAUGCAAAGAUUCAAGUCUUUGAUCAUAAUCAUUAUUGCCGAGCAACGCACUGAUUAUUUAGAAAAUCAGUAAUUUAGUGCACACCCACAUACACUCGACUGUUUUCUAAUUUAAAAUUGUACAUUCAAAGUAAUUGGCAUUCGACACACACAAUUUUACAAUUCAAAUUGGCGAUAACCAAUUAAAAAUUUGGUGCGUUAAAUUCACAUACUGAUCGUUAUAUUGUGCCUUCCAGCUACACAAGCAUUUGAUGGACACAAAUUUCGGCGAGUAAUCUAGCACAAACUACAAUAAAUCACACGCUAUCUUAAAUUGGAACGGUCUCGAUAAAAGUUUGAAUUUAAAUUGCAAACAAAAUUUUCGCAGCGAGUUAGGCAAAUUCGAACAGCUCGUUGCAGGAAGCGACGAUUUGGCGAAUCAAUAAGCAAAACAAAUCAAGUAAGAUAUUUGAAUGACUUAUAAUGCAAAUACCGUUUUGUUUGAAUAGGUACUUGGAAAAAGUAACAAAGGCGUUAAAUCACACGAAAUACACCUGACAUAUCCCGUUAUGUGUGUGUGAAGCGACUCGCUGCUAAGUGUUAGUGAACAAAGUUUUAACAUUUCUGAUGUGAAGCAAAGUACAAAUUUUUAAAUGCCUAUUUGCGAAUUAUAAUAAUGAAAGGGAUUUGGAAAAAAAAGCGAACGAACUGAUUCUUGGGGAGUACGUGUACUUGAAAGCACAAGAAUCAAAAGAUGACAUACAAUAUUUGUACACUAAGAAACAAAAAAUGAAGAAUGUUAAGAAAAAAACACAAAAAAGAGCAAACAAAUGCAAAUACCAUAAAAAUAUCUGUAAAUUUACAGCCUAAUAGAGUGGUACGAAACAAAUUAUUUAUCAAUAAGCACUCGAAGGUGUGAUUUCAUCACCGCCCGUCAGUCAGUCAGUGUUCUCUAUUCAUAUUAAAUCGAGCUUAAAGUAAACUAUGUUGUUGUAAUAUUGCUGGCCGUCUGAAGUGUAAUAAUGUGAUGUGUUGUACGUACAUAUAUGAGUAGUUAUGUACGCUGACAGGACAGUUAUCAGCGACAAAACAUGCACAAACACAAGGCAGUAAAAGGCAUGACACACAGUAAUAAACACACAAACAAACUCGCAACAUACAUAACUCAUAAUAAAUAGAGACGCCAAUUGAAAUUGAACAAAUUUCAAAGCUACGAAAAUCCAAAAAGAAAAAUAUUUGAGUGCAAAAAUCGUUAAAAUCUAUCAUUUUUGGUGCUGCUGAUGGCGAUAAAUUGGCGACAACCAUAGGUGACAAUAACAACAUCACCAAAAACAUGACGAAAUCACUGUUAAAAAAUGUACACAACAACAAAAGGAACAAAAAACAAAACAAAAAUAAAUCACAAAAUUAAUAUAUAAAGUGUUUAAAAAGCACAAGCACAUAUUGGUAAUCGACAACUCACUGAGCAAUUGAAAUAUGAAAAAAUAUAAAUUCAAAGAAUAACGACAUUAUAGACAUAGGUAGUAAAAAAAUUAGCUGAAAAGUGUGUUGUUACGAGGAUUAUUCAAUAAGCGCCUAGUAAGAUUGAGAAAAUUGAUUUGGGCGAAACCAACAAAUAAUAAAUGACGGACAAGCCUUUUGUAAAUAUAAAUUUUGGACCCGUUUUUUUAAGUAUAAGCACAACAUAGUUUACUUUAUAAAAGUUUUACUAGUUGUAAAAUAUAUCUGAUUUUACCCGGACUGGUCCAUUUAAAUUGCGCGCCCAAGCUGAAUCGAUAAAAGACUUCCUAGAAUGAUACUUUGUGAAGUUUAAGCUGCAGAUGACUAUUAGUGUGUGUUUGGUAGCUGUUUGUUUACGACGCAAAAAGUUUGUCUGGCGAUUUUUGACAUGGAAUUUAACAACGAGUUUGUUUGAAAUUUUGUGUUUCCAAGGGAAUCACGGCUACAGAAUUGUUGAAAAUGUUGCAGAAGUAUUUUGGGGAGUCUACUUUAGCACAAACACAAAUAUUUGAAUUACACAAAGCAUGCAGUGAAGGUCGUGAAGUCAACGCAAUUUUGCUCACUCAAGUCGGUCAACCCACCUCUGUUAAUGACGAUAAUAUCGAAAAGUCAAAGAAACAUGCUUGGCGUGCUUAUUGGCAUUGGAGGGAUAGCAUCUCUCAUAGAUCGGCUCAACACAUUUUGGUUAAUGUUUUGGGUAUCAAGCGUGUUAACGCUAAACUCGUACUCAAAUAUCUGAAACUCUUACAAAAACGACGAAGAGUAGAGGUUUCAAAAGAGAUGCUCGAAAACGUAGCUGAGAACGCUACAGACAUCAAACGCAUGGUGAGGAGACGUGAGCUUAUUCUAGCCGAGGCUUAUAACAAGUAUAUGGAGAAUUGGAUUCAGCGUUUAUAAAGAUGUGUAUUGAAAUACGUGAAAAUGUUGUGUUUUGGUAGUCCGGGUCAAAUUUGAUCAUAUGUUAUAGUAAGAAUACAACUCUCUGUGAUCAGAAGAGGCAUGUGAAAGAACUGUUGCGAUAUUAAGUUAUAGCAGCAACAUAUUGUAAAUCUUAAUAUUUCAUUUAAAGUUAAUUGCGCAUUAAGUGUAACAUAACGGCUCGUGCUAUCAGCUGAUAAAAUCAAGCUCAGAGUAAGCGACUUCUGUGUAACCGCACUCAAGUUCACAUAAUUAUUCUAUGGGCGCAGUAAUCGAAAAUAUACCCGACCUUAAAUUCAUCAGCAACCGAGCACAAUGUAAAGUAAAAUUAAGUAGCACUGUUGAUCAAUGUAACGAGCCCAAUUAAUAAACACCCAAAAGUGUUAACUCCCACUUGGGCAGGGUGUGCCGCCACGACAAUUCGAGCGCAAAUUGGGAAAAUAUUUCAAGGUCGCAAUCAAAAUGCCAGUGCGGCGCGCUUAUAAAAAGCAUGCAAAAAGAUGCCAUAUAUAUUUUUUUUAUUGUAUGAUGUGUAUAUUUAUGGAAGUGUUACUGUUUUGUUGGUGUUGUAGAUUUUUUACGCAAUCGCGCAAAAGCGCAAAUAAUUUAUGAUUUUACGCCAAAAAUAGCAACAAGAAAAUUACCGCUCAUAAUGGCUGACGUUGGCAAACAUUUUUAUUAGUAUUAAUAUUAAUAUUAUUGCCCGCGAAAUAUUUUCGGCAGCAGCCAAGGCGAUUGGAUGUUCAAUACAACUUUAAUUUUAAGUUUAUACGAAGCGCACGCAGACUAUCUAGUGUGUGGCAACGGCAUUUUAAUCACACGAAUUCACUUAAUUGUUUGUUUGUUUUGAAUGCGGUGAAUAAAUAAACGCACGCCGCACGACGCAGGCGGCGCACAGUCCCCGCUAUGAUGUGCCACUUGGCUGGAUAUGAUUUGGAGCAGCAGAUUUAGGGCGCGAUUGCGAGGCGCGCCGAACUCACAUUUGGCGCUCUACACACGCGCGCACGCGAUCACGCAAUGGCUUGCAUAAUUUUUUAAAAUUUGUUUGUUUUACAAUAUAUUAUUUUAUUUUUAAUUUAAUUCAAUUUGAGUUACUUUUUACGCAGACUUAAAGACAUAAUGCCGAACACACCAAUGCGAAAAUCGAAUUUAAUGUUUCACUUUGAAUUUUACAUUUGCAUUUGAGAUGUAUCUAUCAUUCUAUGCGAGGAUUAAACAAUCUUAUGCAAACACCUGCUAUACAUAAGCAGAGAAUUUAAAUUUUGAUUAUCAUAUUAUUUUGCUAUUCACCACGAUCACUAGCAGCGCUGAGGGCGCAUGCGCGAAUGCGUUAGAGACUUGUCGUCCGGCCAGCAGAUCGAUCAGCGUCCGAGCGUGCUUGCACACACCAAAAAUGACUCAGUGCUGCAGUCACCAGCAGCGCAGCUAGAAGACAUCACCUACUAGUAAGACGCUUGCGCAGCGUCCAGUUGAAGAGCGAAAAUUUGUCAAUUGCUCGCGUAGCUGCUCAGCCAAGUGAUUUUAUGUAUUUGUUGUUGUUGUAUUUUACUUAGAUUUCAAUUCAAUUGAUAUCAAAAAUGGCGACAUUUAUUAAAAGGCAAAGUCAGUGCCGCGCACGGUGUUGCCACUUUGAGUAAAAUUAAUAAUUACUUCGAAUUAAAAAAAAAAAACUUCGGCUGCACCGAAACUAUAA